rnacentral:lncRNA from 1 species
AUAAAGUUGACUGAAGCGAUAAUUAUAAUAUAGUUAAAACCAUAAACGAAAACUAAGAAGAAGAAAUGUUUGUUAAGAGUACUAUAGCUAUGAAUAGUAAUGAUUAAGCAGUAAAUCUUUUCAGAAUUAUUGUGGUUCAAAAGUAAACAGACUAUUAUUUUUUAAGAGAAAAUUUCAGAUUAGCUGAUCAUAUUAAUGGCACUUCGAUGUUUAGCGGAGCUACGAAAACAUCUUUAAAAUUCUGCAAGACAAAGCGCUGUUAUUUGGACAAUUGAUAUCUAUUAGCCUUGAAGGAGAAAAAGGCUAUAAAAAUAAUUUGUUAUGAGAUUUGUAUAGUCAGACCUUUAAAAGCUGCUUUGAUGAUGAUACAAAUUAUUUAAGUAUGCUUUUAUCAACUAUUCAAAUAACAAUAAUAGUGAACCUAUGGAAUUAAGGGAAUUCCAGAUGGGACCUUCUUUCGAUAUUGUUCGUAAGAAUCACCAAAAAAACUAACUAAGUAAGCUUCUUCGGUAGUAAUUCGCUGUGAGAAAAAUUUCCAAAGAACUAGAGAAAAUAGUAAUGUUGAGACAAAAUUUCCUAACAACAUUUGAGUGCCCAAAGCCCAGAUAAAAAACCCAACGUAUGAUGGGUGUCUAACGUAAGCAUAAAUCCCAUCAGUGACAAGCAAAUGAUCUUUAUUUCUUUUACUAGCUACAAUGUGAGAAAAAGAUUGACCGGCUUGUACCAUUGCAGAGGAUCGUAGAUAUUGUCCCAAACAAAGAAAUCCCAGAGCAGAUGUCUGAUAUACCGAAAAUAUAAAGUUGAUUAAGAAGCUCGGAAAUCUUAAGCAAUUUAUUACCUUAGCAAAACUUUUUCCGCCACUUAAUAAGCAUUCUAAAAGGCCGACUAACAUCGCUAACCAGUAGGCUUUGCCAUUAUUCAAUAUGAAAGAAUCCCAUGAUAACUGACUACCUUGAAAACGAGCAGUAAUGUAAAACUCUAAUAGAUGAAAAAGACUCAGAAAUGCAAAAAAACCUCCAAUACUAUAUCCGUAUAUAAUCCAUACGAAAAAUCCCAAACCAAAAACACAACCAAGAAAGGCGCUGGUUAAGCAAAUAGAUGCUACAGCUAUUGACGUAUGUAAAUUCCCCAUGAUUGUAUAUUAAAUUCAGGUAUGUGAAUUCAACUUUCUUUAUUAAAUUUAUCGAGAAGAAUUAUUGAGUCAAAAUGUCCUAACAAACUAACUCAUACACAUUUAGAGAUGUUAUAAUUAUUAAUUAUUGGAGGAAAGACACGAGAAGAAAUAAAAUUUAUGCAAAGAGGGAUAUUCCUUGCUUUAGCCUGGUUUUCGAGUUAUUAGGAUAUUUUCAAAAUUUCCUGCUUAAAAUUAUAGUUGACACAAUAGGGAAGUAAAACAAAGAAAAUCAUACUCAUAUUGUAUUACUUAAGUUUUGACUUCUUUUCUUUGUAUUGGCUCUAAUAGUUGCUAAAAGUUGUAUUAUAUUAAUGUAGUAAACCUCGAUAUAACAAAGAAUUCAAAUACUCUGUCAUUAAUCAAUUUGCAAGUUAUGAAUUAUUAAAAAAGAACUCUUUCUCAGUUUUGUCUAAACAUAUCCGAUUACAAACUGAUAUCAACUUGUUUUGCAAAUAAUGAGCCAAAUACUGAUGUCUAACUCACAAAGGAGAAGUCCCGGUGUAUGAGUUGAACAGAUAACUUCAUAUUAUUCAAAAAUUCAAAGAAUAAAUGCAUAUACUAGUUCUCUAAAUUGCUAAAGAAUUUGUUCCUAAAUUCGUCAAAUUUACAACAAUCCAAAAUUCUGUAUUCAUGAAUCCAAUACUUAUCUAUGUGACUUUGGUAUUAAUAAUCAGUUUAAGGCAACUCGCGAACAGCAUGGUUAAAUGCCUGUGCAACAUGCUCUACAUUAGAAUUGUUCAAACCAGCCAUAGAAAUACGACCAUUUGCACUGAAAUAAAGAUGGUACCGCUCCUGGCAAAAUUGGACUUGUGCAGGCGUUAAACCGGUAAAAGAAAACAUUCCAAUUUGUUGUGUAAUAUGAUCCCAAGAACCGGGGGUUUUGAGUGCAACAAGAGAAUCGCGAAGACGUUUCCUCAUCUCAAUGAUUCUAGAAGACAUAGUCUUUAAAUCUUGUUCCCAUUCAGCAAACAAUUGAGGACUGUUAAGAAUUUCGGCAGCAAUACGUGCACCGUAAGCGGGAGGGUUAGAAAUGGUGUUACGUUGAACAAUACACAAUUGAGAUAAGACCUUGUUUUUAGUGGAAGCGUCCUUUGCAACGUAAUGCAUGCAACCAGUACGUUCACCAUAAAGACCCAUAUUUUUAGCAAAUGACUGACAAACGAAAAAGUCCUUGUUAUAUUUGACAAACUCGUUUAGAGCCCAAGAGUCACGAUUCAGAUCACCACUGGCAAAACCUUGAUAAGCAAUGUCAAAAACUACCAGAUGCUUGCGAGAAAGCAGACUCUCGAAUAUAGAAAGCCAUUGUUCCCUAGUGGGGUCAAUACCAGUAGGAUUGUGAGCACAAGCAUGAAGUAAAAAUAUACUUCCUUCGGGAGCAGAUUUAAUGGUACUUAGCAUGCCUUCGUAAUCAAAAGAUCUAUUCUUGGCAUCCCAAUAAGGAUAUGUAUCUACAGUGACUCCCAAUUUUUCCCACAAAGUGCGAUGGACAGGCCAAGUAGGGUUGGAGAUGUAUACAUGGGCUCCAGUGUGCUUUACAUAGAAAGUCUCAAUGAAACUAGCAGCAAGAAAAUUGGCACCAGUACCAGAGACUGACUGCAUAGAUGCAACACGGUCCUCGGACAAUAAAUGAGGAUUGGGUCUGAAAAGAACUUCAGCCGCAGCCUUAGUGAAACGAGGCAAUCCAGCAAUUGGUAAAUAUUCAUGGUUGAAGCUUGCCUGUUCUUCCACUAUUUUAGAUGCUUUUUUAACUGCAGGCAAAAUCCAAGGCUUACCAGUAUCGUCACGAUAGGCGCCAACACUCAUGUUAACCUUCUUGGGAUCUUCAUCCUGAUGGUAUUGAGCAUUUAAUUUAAAAAUUGCAUCUGCCUUAGCUUCCUCAAUAUUUGCAAACCCGUAGUCUGACAUUGUG